rnacentral:rRNA from 1 species
GACGAACGCUGGCGGCGUGCUUAACACAUGCAAGUCGAACGAAGUGGCGAACGGGUGAGUAACGCGUAAUCACCCUGCCCUUCAGAGGGGGACAACAGUUGGAAACGACUGCUAAUACCGCAUACUGAAGGAGGGGCUUGCGUCCGAUUAGCUAGUUGGAGGGGUAACGGCCCACCAAGGCGAUGAUCAGUAGCCGGUCUGGGAGGGUGAACGGGCACAGUGGGACUGAGAAACCGCCCAGACUCCUACGGGGGGCAGCAGUGGGGGAUCUUCCGGAAUGGACGAAAGGCUGACGGAGCAACGCCGCGUGAGUGAGGACGGCCUUCGGGUUGUAAAGCUCUGUUAAUCGGGACGCGGUACCGGAAUAGAAAGCCACGGCUAACUACGUGCCAGCAGCCGCGGUAAUAC